AGUGAACGCUGGCGGUAUGCCUAACACAUGCAAGUCGAACGGCAACACAGUAAGAUCGUGCUGUGACGGGUUGCGAGUGGCGGACGUGUGAGGAAUAUAUCCUAAUCUACUUUUUCGGGUGGGAUAACGUAGGUAAAGUUACUCUAAGACCGCAUACGACCUACCGGUGAAGGCAUGGGAUCGUCUGGCCUGGCGGGGUUGGAUGAGCCGAUGUCGGAUUAGCUAGUGGGCGGGGUAAAUGCCCACCAAGUCGACGAUCCGUAGCUGGUCUGAGAGGAUGAUAAGCCACACUGGAAGUGAGACACGGUCAAGACUCCUAAGGGACGGAGCAGUGGCGAAUAUUGGACAAUGGGCGGAAGUAUGAUACAGCCAGACCGAGUGUGUGACGACGGCCCUGGGGUUGUAAAGCCCUUUUGUUGGGAAAGAACCGCAGCAGGUUAAUACCAAGCUGUUCUGACGGUAAUCAAAGAAUAAGCACCGGCUAACUUCGUG
rnacentral:rRNA from 1 species